ensembl:ncRNA D1044.11 ncRNA
AUGUAAAUCCCGUCAUGUAUCGGCUGCUAGUUGUUUCAUACUCCUAUAGUGCAGGUUGCUAGCUAUGUCAUGUUAGACCCCAGAAAUGUCGGCUGCUAUAAGUCGUGAAAUGUCUGCUGCCACCUACUUUUGCGUUAAAAUAU